rnacentral:sRNA from 1 species
CUUCCUCGAUCUGCUGCGGCGCAAUGAAAUGGAUAUGGCUGUCCAUACCGCCAGCGGUGACGAUCUUGCCUUCGGCGGCGAUCGCCUCCGUGCCCGGGCCGACGAUGAUGUUGACACCCGGUUGCAUGUCGGGAUUACCGGCCUUGCCGAUCGCGACGAUACGUCCGUCCUUGAGGCCGAUAUCGGCUUUGUAGAUGCCCGAAUGAUCAACGAUCACCGCAUUGGUGAUGACCGUAUCCACUGCGCCAUCCGCCCGCGUCACCUGGCUCUGGCCCAUGCCGUCGCGGAU